rnacentral:rRNA from 1 species
UACGGAGGAUGCGAGCGUUAUCCGGAUUUAUUGGGUUUAAAGGGUGCGUAGGCGGGAUGCCAAGUCAGCGGUAAAAAUGCGGUGCUCAACGCCGUCGAGCCGUUGAAACUGGCGUUCUUGAGUGGGCGAGAAGUAUGCGGAAUGCGUGGUGUAGCGGUGAAAUGCAUAGAUAUCACGCAGAACUCCGAUUGCGAAGGCAGCAUACCGGCGCCCUACUGACGCUGAGGCACGAAAGCGUGGGCAUCGAACAGG